rnacentral:lncRNA from 1 species
UCCUGGGAAUCCAGUUGUACUUCAAUUGGUACAUUCAGGUCUCUUCCUAUUUUUGCCAGUAUGUCAGCCUGGGUGUUACCAAAUAUAUUAGAGUGUCCAGGUAUCCAGGAAAGGAGAAUUUUGGUACCAUUCUCAUUGGCUGAAGAUAUAAGUUUCUUUGUUUUUAGGGCCCUUAUAUCUGCUGAAGCAGAUAUGUUACAUGUUUUAAUAUUGGUUAUUGCAUUGAGCGAAUCAGAAAAUAUUAUAGCUUUCUUUAGAUGUUUUGUAGUUGCGACUUCCACCGCUUGAUGUAUUGCUAUACUCUCUGCUUUGCUUAUGCUUAGAGCUACAGGAAGUCUUGAGGAGAAAUUCAAAACCUACCCAU